rnacentral:rRNA from 1 species
AGUACGGCGGAACACGAGAAAUUCCGUCGGAAUCCGCGGGGACCAUCCCGCAAGGCUAAAUACUCCCUAGUGACCGAUAGUGAACCAGUACCGUGAGGGAAAGGUGAAAAGCACCCCGGAAGGGGAGUGAAAUAGAUCCUGAAACCGUGUGCCUACAACAAGUCAAAGCUCGUUAAUGAGUGAUGGCGUGCCUUUUGUAGAAUGAACCGGCGAGUUACGAUUGCAUGCGAGGUUAAGUCGAAGAGACGGAGCCGCAGCGAAAGCGAGUCUGAAUAGGGCGAAUGAGUAUGUAGUCGUAGACCCGAAACCAUGUGAUCUACCCAUGUCCAGGUUGAAGGUGCGGUAAAACGCACUGGAGGACCGAACCCACGUACGUUGAAAAGUGCGGGGAUGAGGUGUGGGUAGCGGAGAAAUUCCAAACGAACUUGGAGAUAGCUGGUUCUCUCCGAAAUAGCUUUAGGGCUAGCCUCGGAAUUGAGAAUGAUGGAGGUAGAGCACUGUUUGGACUAGGGGCCCAUCUCGGGUUACCGAAUUCAGAUAAACUCCGAAUGCCAUUCAUUUAUAUCCGGGAGUCAGACUGCGAGUGAUAAGAUCCGUAGUCGAAAGGGAAACAGCCCAGACCACCAGCUAAGGUCCCAAAAUAUAUGUUAAGUGGAAAAGGAUGUGGGGUUGCACAGACAACUAGGAUGUUGGCUUAGAAGCAGCCACCAUUUAAAGAGUGCGUAAUAGCUCACUAGUCGAGUGACCCUGCGCCGAAAAUGUACCGGGGCUAAACAUAUUACCGAAGCUGUGGACUACACCAUUAGGUGUAGUGGUAGGAGAGCGUUCUAAGGGCGUUGAAGGUCGAUCGUGAGGACGGCUGGAGCGCUUAGAAGUGAGAAUGCCGGUAUGAGUAGCGAAAGACAGGUGAGAAUCCUGUCCACCGUAUGACUAAGGUUUCCUGGGGAAGGCUCGUCCGCCCAGGGUUAGUCGGGACCUAAGCCGAGGCCGAUAG